UACGUAGGGUGCAAGCGUUGUCCGGAAUUAUUGGGCGUAAAGAGCUCGUAGGCGGUUUGUCGCGUCUGCUGUGAAAACCCGAGGCUCAACCUCGGGCCUGCAGUGGGUACGGGCAGACUAGAGUGCGGUAGGGGAGAUUGGAAUUCCUGGUGUAGCGGUGGAAUGCGCAGAUGUCAGGAGGAACACCAAUGGCGAAGGCAGAUCUCUGGGCCGUAACUGACGCUGAGGAGCGAAAGCAUGGGGAGCGAACAGG
rnacentral:rRNA from 1 species